CUCUCUCUCUCUCUCUCUCUCUCUCACUCUCUCUCUCUUUGUCGCUGUUAACACCAUUUUCUCUCCUCGACAUCACGCUCACUCUCUCUAUGUCUCAGCCUCUCAAGUCUCGCACUACCGCGAGGAAGAAGAAAGAUAAACAGCGAAGACAAGAUAGUGCCAAUGGUGGGGGCAAAAAACAUAAAAAGUUGUAGAUAGGAAGCAAGGAGGAGAGGGUACCAAUGGUGGGGACAAGAUCUUGAACAGAGACGAGAUGAAGCUAAUGAAGAGGCUGCUCUUGCCGACCACAGAGUCCCCCAUCAGCAAGAUCAUGAGUAAUUGUUUCCUUGCUUUUAACAGAGGAAGAGGAAAGCAGCAAAGCAAAGGACGGGAAAGCAAUACAAUGAAACAAAAAGAAGACGACACAUAAUGGAGGGAGAAGGAGAGAUAAGAAACUCAAGAAACAUUUGCUUUUAACAUCAAUUUCUCUCUUCAACGCCACUUUCUCUCUCUAUGUCUCGACCUCUUAGAACUUGCACAGCCUAAGGAAGAAAGAAAAACAGUAAGGAGUCGCUUGCGAAGAAAAAAGAGAAACAGUGAGGAGUCUCCCACCAAAUUAAGGAAACAAUGGACUUUUUCACCUUCGGAAGCCAAAACAAUGACUUAUCCACCAUCAAGAGCCCAACUAUGCUUUGCACCUCACCAAGAAAAGAAGAGUCCGCCGCUAAUGAAUGCAUGUUUUGGGCAUUCAUCGCGACAACAAGAAUCCCCUAAAACUAGAAGUGAGAAGAUAGACAGAGCAGACUUACUUGCUAAUCUACUUGAGAAAGAGGAAAGACAAAGAAGGAGAAGAAGAAGGACGAUUCUGACAAUGAUUUCGGUGAUGAUUCAACCGAUGACUUUGAUGAUGAUUCAAGUGAUGAAUCUGAAACAAUGAUUUAGGUUAUGAUUCUGACGAGUUUUAGCGCUAUAUCUCUCGCCGCGAACUUGCCCAACUGUCAGACCAGAGCACUACCCCCUCUACUGAUGAUGAAAAUGAUGAUGUUGAUUUCUUCAUGCUUGAUGCUGCCGAUGAUGAUUUCUUCUAUGAUGAUCCACCCUCCCCAAUGUCUAAUGAUGAAGAUGAUGAUCCUGAAUUGGAUGAUUAGUUUUGUUGUUCUCGCUUAUAGUUGUUCCCGCUCAAUCCUUUGGUAAUCCUAUUUAUAAAAGGAAAAUUUUAUUGGAAAUGAAUGAAAUUUGUCUUAUCGUUGAGGUUAAGCGAUGAUUUGUUCA